GACGAACGCUGGCGGCGUGCUUAACACAUGCAAGUCGAACGGAAAGGCCUGCUUUCCCUUGUGGAUUGCGGGUAGUCGAGUGGCGAACGGGUGAGUAACACGUGGGUGAUCUGCCCUCAACUUGGGUAUAAGCCUGGGAAACUGCGUCUAAUUCGCGAUAGGACUGCAGGGUGGUGCCUGUGUUGGAAAACGAUAUUCUACUGGUUGGGGUUGAGCUCGUGGCCGGUGAGGGUGUUGGUGGGGUAAUGGUCCACCAAGGCGGCGACGGGUAGCCAGACGGAGAGGAUGGACACGCGCAUUGGGACAGGGUUACGGCCCAGACGCCUGCGGGAAGCAGGAAUGAGGGAUCAAGGAGAAUAGGCGUGAGCCAGAUGCAGCGAGGGCGUGAGGAAGAUGACGGGCUUCGGAAUGUAAACUCCUUUGGACCACGAGGAAGACACCUAGUUGGAGGGGUGGUGACGGUAGUGGCAGAAGAAGCACCGGCUAACUACGUG
rnacentral:rRNA from 1 species